CUGCUCGCCCGCGUCCGUCCGCGCGGGUGGUGGCCGAGGGAAGCCAGGACGACGUCGGCCGGGAGAUGCCGCUUCCUCCUCAUCCUCCGUCGCAGCAGCGUCUCCUACGACGUCGAUCUGCACUCCGUCGGCUAGGACACCCGGACAUCGUGAGAUUAGCCCCCCGGCUCCAUUUCCUCCGACGUUGAACCAGGUCGCGCCCGCACGACGCCGGUAGGUCACAAACACUUGAAAUCUCCUGAGAAAUUUAACCACCAUGUCUGCUGCUAUGGUUGCUGUAUCUUUUCAGCGAGGUCAUGUUGGUGUCUUGUGGUGGCGUUUUGUUGGUGGUGCUGUCCAUGGAGAACAACUCUUCAGCGAAGAACAACAUUUGAUUUUGCUCAGGUCAAACAUUUUAUCAAGAAAAUGC